UCACUACUUGCGUAGGCAGUCUCCCUAGAGUGCCCAGCAUAACCUGAUGGCAACUAAGGGCGAGGGUUGCGCUCGUUGCGGGACUUAACCCAACAUCUCACGACACGAGCUGACGACAGCCAUGCACCACCUGUAUACCGACCUUGCGGGGGCUACAUCUCUGCAGCUUUCCGGCAUGUGUCAAACCCAGGUAAGGUUCUUCGCGUUGCAUCGAAUUAAACCACAUGCUCCGCCGCUUGUGCGGGCCCCCGUCAAUUUCUUUGAGUUUUAGCCUUGCGGCCGUACUCCCCAGGCGGGGUACUUAAUGCGUUAGCUACGGCACGGAUCCCAAGGAAGGAAACCCACACCUAGUACCCACCGUUUACGGCGUGGACUAC
rnacentral:misc_RNA from 1 species